GAUGAACGCUGACAGAAUGCUUAACACAUCAGCAAUUGAUUGGUGGCGGACGGGUGAGUAACGCGUAAAGAACUUGCCUCACAGGUAGGGACAACAUUUGGAAACGAAUGCUAAUACCUAAUACUGUGAGAGAGCUUUGCGUCCCAUUAGCUAGUUGGAGAGGUAACGGCUCACCAAGGCGAUGAUGGGUAGCCGGCCUGAGAGGGUGAUCGGCACCAAGGGGAUUGAGGAACGUGCAUUACUGCUUCGUGAGGCAGGGGGGGAGCAUAGUGGAAAACGGCCCACAGUAUGAUCAAGCACUUCGGUGUGCAAGAUAAUGUUUUCGUAAAGUAAAGUUCUUUCAGUUGGGAAGCGGUACCCACAGAAGAAGUAACGGAUAAAUACGUGCCAGCCGCCGCGGUAAUUC
rnacentral:rRNA from 1 species